UACGGAGGAUCCGAGCGUUAUCCGGAUUUAUUGGGUUUAAAGGGUGCGCAGGCGGGAGAUUAAGUCGGCGGUGAAAUUUUGCAGCUCAACUGUAAAAGUGCCUUCGAAACUGGUUUCCUUGAGUGUAGAUGAAGUAGGCGGAAUUUGUGGUGUAGCGGUGAAAUGCAUAGAUAUCACGAGGAACUCCGAUUGCGCAGGCAGCUUACUAAACUACUACUGACGCUCAUGCACGAAGGCGUGGGGAUCAAACAGGAUUAGAUACCUCCGUA
rnacentral:rRNA from 1 species